CUGUACGGGAGGGCUGGAGAUUAAAAGAGCGACUCUCACUCCUCCCACCAUUCAGGACGCCGCAUAUCACUCCCCGCCGGUGUGUCUGCAUGUAUCCUCACUCACUCGGACACCAGAGGACCGAGGGAGGAGAAACAGCACACCGUGGGACGGACUAGCGGUACUUUAGUUUCCACGCUUCGGACCGAAACCGCUGACACCGUCCGCUUGGACGGCUCUUUUCUCCCGUGGGUUUCCUUGAUAAACUUCAGAGCUGGCCAGCGUCCCCCCGACCUCUGACUUCAUAUAUUUGACACAGUUUGUCCCCGUUUUGACUGUCGAAGUCAUUAUUUUCACCGAAGGUCUCCGGGCAAAGUGAACAAAGUGCUCCCUGGACAGGUUCCUUUGCAGCCAGUGGGAUGUUCGAGCUCUGGGAGCAGGACUGACUGAAGGAGCAUGGUGAAACACCAACCCCUCCAGGUCUAUGAGCGCCAGCUGUGUUUGUCAUGUAUCACAGGGAUCUACGGCUGCCGAUGGAAACGCUACCAGCGUUCCCAUGAUGAUACCACAAAGUGGGAGCUGUUGUGGUCCCUCAUCCUCCUCUUUACCUUCUGUCUGCUGCUCGUCUGGUUCUACUUCUGGUGGGAGGCACAUAACGACUACAGUGAAUUCAACUGGUACCUGUACAACCGCUCAGGGGAGUGGAGCGAUGGCACAGUUCCCAUCCUGGCCACCACCGCUGCCGGCUUCACAUACAUCGCAUUUCUGAUGGUUUUAGCACUUUGCCAUGUUGCACUUGGCCAGCAGCUGAAUUUGCACUGGCUCCACAAGAUAGGAGUGAUUGCUGCUUUGCUCACGACCAUCGUUGGGGUCAUAUCUGUCAGUCAAACAUGGGGACAAGAGUGGGAUGUCAUCCCUAUCUCCCUGCAGGCUACAGGUCCGUUCCUGCACAUCGGCGCUCUUAUUGCGGUCACUGCACUGUCUUGGAUUGUGGCCGGACAGGUUGCCCACGCAGAAAAAACAAUGUUCCAGGUGGUCGUCGUGCUGCUGUAUCUCAGUGUGUUACUGGGCCUCUACGCGGUGCCCUUUUAUAUCAGUUCCCCCUGCAUCAUGGACCCCAACAGCCUCAAGCCGCGCCCUGAAGUUUUCGGCCACCAGGGCGCCCCCAUGCUCGCUCCAGAAAACACACUCUGGUCCUUCCAGCGAGCUCUGCAGAUGAACGUCACUGGCUUGGAGGCUGACGUGGCUAUCAGUACUGACAGCGUGCCUUUUCUGAUGCGAGACCUCACCUUGCGGAGGACCACGGAUGUAGAGAAGGUUUUCCCAGACAGACAGAUGGAGGAUGCUUCAUACUUUAACUGGACAGAUUUGCAGCAGCUGAACGCCGGGCUGUGGUUCCUUCAGGAUGACCCCUUCUGGACAGUGCACAACCUGUCGCCGCACGAGAAGGAUCUGAUCGCCAAUCAGAGCGUGUGCAGCCUGGAGCAGCUUCUCAAGCUGGCCUCUUACCACAACAGCACUGUGGUUUUCAGGCUGCGGAGGCCUCCUCCGGAGCACCCCUGCUAUCAUAGCUGGAUCAAUGAUACUCUUCAGGCUGUGCAGCAAUCUGGAGUCUCUCCUGACCUGGUGAUGUGGACCCCCGAUGAGCACAGGGCUCAGGUGGAGGAGCUGGCGCCUGGUCUGAUCCAGACCUCAGUGGAGAAGCAGACUCCUGAAAGCCUGCAGUACCGCAGCAUCAGCAGGCUGCUGCUGAGAUACAACCAAGUUAGCAUCCAGGAAAUCAGAGACUUCUCUCAGACUCACAUCAACCUCACUCUCUACACCGUCAACGAGCCCUGGCUGUACUCCGUCCUGUGGUGCAGCGGGGUGUCGUCGGUGUCCUCAGAGGCCCCGCAUAUCCUCAGAAAGGUGCCUUAUCCUCUGUGGCUUAUGAGGCCCAAUGAAUACUGCCUGAUGUGGGUGUCUGCAGACCUCAUCUCCUUUGCUGUAGUCAUAGGAAUAUUUGUCCUCCAGAAGUAUCGGACGAGCGGCAUGCACAGUUACAACCCUGAGCAGAUCAUGCUGAGUGCUGCGGUCAGGAGGUCGAGCCGAGACAUCAACGUCAUGAAGGAGAAACUCAUCUUCUCUGGUCAACCCCAGUAACCGCCCCCCCUCCUCCAUCCUCCGUGUGAUGUCCAUCCUCCCACAUCUCCGCCUCUUCUCCGCGAGCCCUUCUUGUAUUCCAUGCAUCCCUCGCUGUCUUCCACCUCUGUGCCUCUUUUGCCCCCCCCCAUUCCUCCCCCCUCCAUCCAUUCAUGCAUCCACCCAUCUGCACUCCCAUCCUCAUCCCACAACCCCCCCCCCAGUGGAAGUGACGCCUUGUAUGGGGAGCUUGUAGGCACCCCGGUCUGUCUAGAAAGCCUCUAGUGCUGGGGGUCAAAGAGGUGCAGAAUGGAGUUGGCACUGCUGAGGAGCUGUACGGAGACAACGGCUACGACUACUACACCAACCAGGGCAUCAACCAGUGACCCAAAGCCACCCAAGAGGUGGAAACCCGACAUUCACACCACUGCUGUUUGUCAGAGUACAAUUUCUUCCUCCUCCUCCUCCUCCUCCUCCUCCUCCUCCUCUACCCUAGAGGUGACAGACUGCAUUCGGCACAAGCACCACCCCACCCACCCACGCGCUACGUGUACAUUCUGUAAAUAGUCCCAGUCAGACAUGUUGAGUAUGAGAGCGAACUACAAGCACUUUUUAAUUGGUGGAAUAAUUCUGUGGCCUCUGCCUCUGUCUCCUCUGCUUCUCAUACCUUCAAAGCAGAUCUCAGAUUUUAUUUUGAAUUCUAAGCUACUUUUUUUUUUCUUUUUUUUUUUCGUUUUUUAAUUGAUUGUUGUUUGAGGCUCCUUAAAUGGUGGCCUUCUCUUCGCCAUUACAUUUCUUAACCAGGCUUGUUGCAUGAGGAGUUUGCCUCCAGCUCAUUACUCUGUCCAGCACUCCUCUGUGCUGUAGUUCCUUAAAAGUACUGACGUUUAUAUUUAAAAAAGACCACACACACACACACACACACACACACACACACACACACACGAUCUGUUUACAGAAGUUCUACCUUCUCCUCCAGGUGAAAUAUUCACAUGGUGUAUGUAAGAGUUGUUUGACUCGGUGCCUCCCUGCCCUUUGCCUGCUCGGUGCAUGACUGACCGGCGUGAGCUGUGCUCCCAAGACGUCUCGGGAACUGGGGGGGGGGGGAAUUGUCUUGUCAUUAUACGGUAAAUGAUGAAUGUGUAUGGAUUAUUGUGCAGUUUUUGUUUUUGUUUUUUUAAAGAUGUGUAUUGUAUUGUGUGUAUUCUGACAGCAUAAAUGUAUAUUUUUACCCCGUGUGCAGUGUUCUGUUGAGUGUGUUGUACAGUGUAUAUACAGGCGAGCCAGUGGUUGAGAUGUUGCAUUCAACAGAAUUGAUAUUUGAAAAAUGUGAUAUUUAAAUGACUUUAGCAAUAGUCUGGUCAGAGUAUCCUUCUCCUUCUCACACAGCCUUUGAACUGCAGUUCAGUCUGUGGUGUGGUCGUCUUUAAGCAAAACGCAUCUGAAUGUUGGUUGCUGGUGUAAAA